AAAAACUUAAUCUACAUUGUGUCUGAGUAAGAUGGACCAAAGAAGUGACCUGAAACCAGAGACCUGGUGCCUGACCUCCACACACUAUUCUUGAUCUCAUAUAGCAGUCAAGGACAGCACAGUUCAUGGAGCUUAAUCCCUAAGUCAUUGAUAAUCUCCAAAUCAUUGAGGACGCUUCCUUGGCAGAGGAGAAGAGAGAUGCUACAAAAGAUUACCCAGACAGCCAGUCGUAGCGAAGACAAAGUGUUUGAGAAAGUUGGUAGAGACUGAGGUCUAGGCAAUUAACAUUACAGCAGCUGUCUGGGCACAAGCCUUUGUCCAUUAGGAGCAGUGGUCUCCCAAGGCAUUUUUCUGUCAGUCUUGGAACAGCAAUCACCAUAGACAGGUAAUAGCAAAUGUGCCAGCAAAAGACAUAUGCAAACUGAAAACAUAAUACUUUAGAAAGUGAAGGCUGUUUCUAACAGUAGCUUAUAAGUCAGUUUCUAUUAGUUUUUCUCAUGGACUGAUGGGGGCUACAUUCUCAGCACAGUUUAGAUGAUUCUGUAGACUUUUUCCUAAAGGCUAUUCUCUUAGAUGAACAACUGGAUUCUUCACAAUGGGAGAUCUCCAUGAAAGACUCAAGUUAUUUUAAAAAGGCAGCAUUGUUCUGGCUGAAAGAAAAAUACUUUAUUGUCCCAGCCUCAAGCCAGUUUGUUUUCUGUUAGUAGUUGUCCUGGUUCUUGAUCAGGAUAAAAAGAAUUAAGUAUGUUGGGACCAUUCCUGAUCACUAAAGGGUUAUGAAACUCUCUUGUGCAAACAAGAUGAUCUGGCUAAGUUCCAGGCAAAUCAAUUACAUCCUGUCACCCUAAUCCCCUCUGUAACCUUAAAUGAACUUGCACUUUUCUUAACGUCCUCUACUACGUUGUUGUGUUGCCCUACUAUGAACUGUUAAGUAACCGCUGCAUUUCUUGUAGACACAGGAUGGUUACUUCACCCAUCCCUGGUGUCAACUAUCUGACUGGAGAACAUUAAAUUUUAAUACAUCCAUGCUUGUAAGGCUCUUUCAAAUCCGUCAGUGAACUAAUAGUAAUACCUGGUAUUUAUAUGGGUCCUUUCAUUCAAAAGGCUUCCUAAUUUGACAAAUGCUACUAAAUAACUUGACCCAGUUCGCAUACAAAAAAAUUAGCGGCAAAACAAAUCCAAGUAACUCUUCUCCCAAACAUUAGCUUGUAUGAAGAGAGAACAGGCCCAGUUGUACAGCCUUUGUUGCAUGAGACAAAAGAGGCUUUUUUAAGUGUUCAUUCUUAUUGAAUUAAUACAGAAAGUGGUAAAAGCUAGCCAGAUGGCCCUUCUAAAAGCUGCAAAAGAGCCUUCUAUUUGCCAUUCAGAUAGGCUUUCCCUCUCCUGACUGCUCAGACAUGCAAAGUAAAACUAAGUAGAAAAAAGUUCA